rnacentral:lncRNA from 1 species
UGGGCAGACACAGAAGAGGGAGAAGCAUUCCACAGGGGAGGAAAGGCCUCAGUGGGGACCUAUGGAGCUCCCAGGCCCACCGCAGGGAGGCAGGUCCUCGGUCAUCUGCGGAGGGAGAACACUUUCAGUCGAAGGAGCCUGGGACCCUUGACACAGAAGUGACAUGUGCAUUCGGAACCUCUCUGUGGAAAACACAGACCCUUCAUGACACGCAAACUCGAAGCCGGUGAGGCCGAGUCUCAGGGCUGCGCCAACCAGGAAGCCUGGCUGUCCAAUGUUCCAAAUCUGGAUGUGAAAUGGACCAUGCAGACAGGACCCAAGGGGCAUGGGGGAGCUGGCAGAGGCACCCGGGACAAGUGGGGAAGCACCUGUCGGCCAGGAAGGUAGAGAGGCACCUACCCCAGAACACGGUGCCAGCGUCACACUCUUAUUAACAGAUGCAAUAACCACCUUCGGAGACCAGACCCCUCAAAGAGCACUCAGCCCACAAUGUGACGCAGAGAAACCAGAGACCCAGGCAGGGAGUGCACCCACGGGGACACUCCGAGGGUGGCCUCCUGCCUGCCCUGAUUACUUAAAAAGGAGAUUCUUGGAAACCUUUGCGGGCCCACAGGUGCACCCUGACUCCCAGGGAUGGGGGCUGAGCCACCCAGGAAACAAAUAUGAAAUCAAAGAUCCAGACAGCCCUGACCCUCCUGAUUCCAGGGUCCAUAAAUAAGUCAUUCUUAAAA